rnacentral:rRNA from 1 species
AGAGUUUGAUCAUGGCUCAGGACGAACGCUGGCGGCGUGCCUAAUACAUGCAAGUCGAGCGAGCGGAACUAACAGAUUUACUUCGGUAAUGACGUUAGGAAAGCGAGCGGCGGAUGGGUGAGUAACACGUGGGGAACCUGCCCCAUAGUCUGGGAUACCACUUGGAAACAGGUGCUAAUACCGGAUAAGAAAGCAGAUCGCAUGAUCAGCUUUUAAAAGGCGGCGUAAGCUGUCGCUAUGGGAUGGCCCCGCGGUGCAUUAGCUAGUUGGUAAGGUAAAGGCUUACCAAGGCGAUGAUGCAUAGCCGAGUUGAGAGACUGAUCGGCCACAUUGGGACUGAGACACGGCCCAAACUCCUACGGGAGGCAGCAGUAGGGAAUCUUCCACAAUGGACGCAAGUCUGAUGGAGCAACGCCGCGUGAGUGAAGAAGGUUUUCGGAUCGUAAAGCUCUGUUGUUGGUGAAGAAGGAUAGAGGUAGUAACUGGCCUUUAUUUGACGGUAAUCAACCAGAAAGUCACGGCUAACUACGUGCCAGCAGCCGCGGUAAUACGUAGGUGGCAAGCGUUGUCCGGAUUUAUUGGGCGUAAAGCGAGCGCAGGCGGAAGAAUAAGUCUGAUGUGAAAGCCCUCGGCUUAACCGAGGAACUGCAUCGGAAACUGUUUUUCUUGAGUGCAGAAGAGGAGAGUGGAACUCCAUGUGUAGCGGUGAAAUGCGUAGAUAUAUGGAAGAACACCAGUGGCGAAGGCGGCUCUCUGGUCUGCAACUGACGCUGAGGCUCGAAAGCAUGGGUAGCGAACAGGAUUAGAUACCCUGGUAGUCCAUGCCGUAAACGAUGAGUGCUAAGUGUUGGGAGGUUUCCGCCUCUCAGUGCUGCAGCUAACGCAUUAAGCACUCCGCCUGGGGAGUACGACCGCAAGGUUGAAACUCAAAGGAAUUGACGGGGGCCCGCACAAGCGGUGGAGCAUGUGGUUUAAUUCGAAGCAACGCGAAGAACCUUACCAGGUCUUGACAUCUAGUGCCAUUUGUAGAGAUACAAAGUUCCCUUCGGGGACGCUAAGACAGGUGGUGCAUGGCUGUCGUCAGCUCGUGUCGUGAGAUGUUGGGUUAAGUCCCGCAACGAGCGCAACCCUUGUUAUUAGUUGCCAGCAUUAAGUUGGGCACUCUAAUGAGACUGCCGGUGACAAACCGGAGGAAGGUGGGGAUGACGUCAAGUCAUCAUGCCCCUUAUGACCUGGGCUACACACGUGCUACAAUGGGCAGUACAACGAGAAGCGAGCCUGCGAAGGCAAGCGAAUCUCUGAAAGCUGUUCUCAGUUCGGACUGCAGUCUGCAACUCGACUGCACGAAGCUGGAAUCGCUAGUAAUCGCGGAUCAGCACGCCGCGGUGAAUACGUUCCCGGGCCUUGUACACACCGCCCGUCACACCAUGGGAGUCUGCAAUGCCCAAAGCCGGUGGCCUAACCUUCGGGAAGGAGCCGUCUAAGGCAGGGCAGAUGACUGGGGUGAAGUCGUAACAAGGUAACCGUA